GAGUUUGAUCAUGGCUCAGAUUGAACGCUGGCGGCAGGCCUAACACAUGCAAGUCGAGCGGAUGACGGGAGCUUGCUCCUUGAUUCAGCGGCGGACGGGUGAGUAAUGCCUGGGAAUCUGCCUGGUAGUGGGGGACAACGUUUCGAAAGGAACGCUAAUACCGCAUACGUCCUACGGGAGAAAGCAGGGGACCUUCGGGCCUUGCGCUAUCAGAUGAGCCUAGGUCGGAUUAGCUAGUUGGUGGGGUAAUGGCUCACCAAGGCGACGAUCCGUAACUGGUCUGAGAGGAUGAUCAGUCACACUGGAACUGAGACACGGUCCAGACUCCUACGGGAGGCAGCAGUGGGGAAUAUUGGACAAUGGGCGAAAGCCUGAUCCAGCCAUGCCGCGUGUGUGAAGAAGGUCUUCGGAUUGUAAAGCACUUUAAGUUGGGAGAAGGGCAGUAAGUUAAUACCUUGCUGUUUUGACGUUACCGACAGAAUAAGCACGGCUAACUCUGUGCCAGCCGCCG
rnacentral:rRNA from 1 species